rnacentral:rRNA from 1 species
GUGGGGAAUAUUGGACAAUGGGCGAAAGCCUGAUCCAGCCAUGCCGCGUGUGUGAAGAAGGUCUUCGGAUUGUAAAGCACUUUAAGUUGGGAGGAAGGGCAGUAAGUUAAUACCUUGCUGUUUUGACGUUACCGACAGAAUAAGCACCGGCUAACUUCGUGCCAGCAGCCGCGGUAAUACGAAGGGUGCAAGCGUUAAUCGUAAUUACUGGGCGUAAAGCGCGCGUAGGUGGUUUUGUAAGUUGGAGGUGAAAUCCCCGGGCUAAACCUGGGAACUGCCUCCAAAACUGCAUGACUAGAGUACGGUAGAGGGUAGUGGAAUUUCCUGUGUAGCGAUGAAAUGCGUAGAUAUAGGAAGGAACACCAGUGGCGAAGGCGACUACCUGGACUGAUACUGACACUGAGGUGCGAAAGCGUGGGGAGCAAACAGGAUUAGAUACCCUUGUAGUCC